AACUUUUCCUAUGAACUCUUCUCUAAAGCAGGUCACAGGGAAAAAAAGGGUUUAAAGAGAAAUAACUUCUCCGGGCAAAAACUGAGGUUAGCGGGCCUAUCAGCUGUUUCUUCUCACUCCACCACUGCUGCUGACUGGAGGAGCAGCCUGGAAAGCAGCCGCCCUCCCGCAAACAGAGCUCCAGCUCCAAAUCUGUGAGAGUGCAUUUGGCAGAAUCUGAACAAGCAACACAAUGAUUAGAGGGUUUUUGUUUUUUUGUUUGUUUUUAACAGUUUUGUUACAAUGUUUCCACCCCAAAAUGUACCUGGUACCAAAUAUACUCCCUGGAAUCUUCACUACGAUCAAGAUAAUGAACCUAUUCAUCACCCCCAGAAGUUUCCUCGUGCCCCUUUGUAUUACUUUUGUUUGUAAUAGAUGUACAUAGAAGCAAACAAGCAAUCCAUCAACAACAACAACAACAACAAAAUCUAUUUUUCAAAAAAGCAUUUUAUGACUUUUCUGAAAUCUAAUGCACUUUUGUGCAGUUAAGAAUUUAAUAUUCUGCCUUUCAUUCUUGGCAAAACUUCUUGAAAAGGUGAUACAUUUGUCCCUGAUUUUGAUAAAAUGACUUCAAUUGCAGGAGACAGUAUUCAUGUAGGAUGCAGACGGCCCCUUAAUGUCAGUGUAGUCCAGUAGAGAACAUAAUAAGGCUCAGUACUGUGUGUACAGCUUUCAUCUUCAGCCAUGAAGCAAAAUUAAACAAGUAGUUCAUCAUUUCAGGCACUCCUUCUGCACCUUAGGUACCAAGAUGUUUUGUUCAAUUGAAUUUUUACUCAACAAAUAAACGUUUUACCAUUUCAAAUGUCCUGGCAGCCUUUAGAAUUUUCAAAAAGUGUUCAUAAACUAGGAAUUUUUCUUGGAUGUCAUCAGUGUGAAUAUACUGGAUAAAAACCAGGAAUCUGGAAGCACAGAGGAAUAUUAGGAUCAAAUUACAUCCUGAAGAUAAAGGGAAUAAUUGUCAAUUCCUCUGUAUCCUACUUCAAAACAUAAGAAGACCAACAAUUCUGGACUGGAUAAAAUCAUUUGUCAGAGGUGUCACCUUACUUUUUCCCCUCUUCUCCAAGACAAAACCAGUUCCAUCAUUUCCAGGGUACUUGGUUUUACCAUGGUCCCCAUAGCUGUGAGGGUCUUCUUUUUGUUUGGAUUUGAGAUAGGCAAAUUUGGAAGAUGCUUUUAGAUAAGGAUUGUGUGUUAGAAACUAAUUCAACUUUGCUAAAAUUAUCUAGUGUUUGCACAAUGAAUCUCCUUUUUCACAGAUUUGUGCUAAUGUAUUGUUAGGAUGUACAGCUGUAAGGUCAACUUUACAAUCCUUGUGUUUCAUAACACAUAACAAUGUGAUGCAUUUCCUUGAAUGCCUUUACGUUGGUCUUGAAACCGUCUUGAGGCAGGAAUCAGCAAUCUGUCCUACCCCCUAAAAUGAAACUAACUUUAAACCCCUUGUCAAAGAAAGACUAUUUCUGUGUCUUUUUCUUCUCUUUCUUUACUCUAUUUUUUCUUAGCAAUUAGCCUAUUUAUCUCAAAUUGUGUUCUCCACUUAGCAAAACAAAACAAAAAAAUCUUAUCUGCAAAACUAUAGUCUGAGAGAAGUAUAAAUCACAGCAGUGUGACAAGAAGCAGGCAUGUCGAGGAUUGCUGGCACCAUUCUCUUUGCAGUUGUACGAUCUUUAACAUGAGAAGGAAAAAAAAAGUGCUACUGGAGACCAGGUUCCACCAAAAUGAUGGAAAACACCAAAAAAGCAGAAAAUCUUGAAAUUCAUGAGAUGUAUAAUCUAAAUUAGGAGAUAAGCAAAGGGAAUUCCUACAACAAUUAGGAGGUGAUGGUGCAAGACAUUACUGGUGCAAUUUAUUUCUACUCCAGAUAAAAGCAGAAUAAAAGUUCUCAGAAGGGAAGUCUUCAAAAAUAAAACAUGAAAACAGAGAACUUAUGUCUGAUGAAAUAUUAUUCUGACAACUGGCAAGUGUGUGAAAAUUAGCAAUAAAUAUAAGUAAAAAUGAAAUAAAUGAAAACAGGCAGGAAUCAGAGAUGCCAGGUGGCCUAGAUAGGGAUUCCCGAUUAUGGCAAAGUGAAGAGGCUGGCAAAUAUUCUCCCACUAAAAUAAGUAUGAAACUGGACACAUUUAAGUAUAAACAGACAAACCACACAUAUUUCAGGUCUCUGGAAAUUAAACAAAUACAAACAACAAAUUGAGAAUUUAUUAAUUAAAAAAAAUCACUGAACUUCAGUUAAGCACGAUGGAAGUCUGUGCCAUUCUUGUCUAGGGCGAUUUCCAUCCAAUCCUUCAGUCAUUUGGCAUGACGGUUCUGUCUGGUGGGGCUAGUCAUAAAACUAUUAAGAGCAGCUUUGCUGCUGCAGAGGCUGACUUGAUUUGGAGUGCAGAGCAAAAAACUCCCAUAUCCAAAUAGGAAAAGAAUAAUGAAAGCCAUAAUACUACAAUACAAGCCUGAAGUUGUUAUCCUUGGUGGGGUGAGCAACAGAACCGAGAGCACCGUAGAAGAGCUAGCUGAGGUCUUCACAACACAUCACUGGCAGACUGGAAGGCCAUGCAUAUGUACAGAGAAGACCUGUAAGGACACUGCAGGAAGUAAAAGUCUGAUAUGUGGAUGUGCUCCCAUUGCACAAACAGAUCCAUCAAUGGGGUAUAAGCCCUACUGGCUCAAGGUGCUGGAGCACAACAUCUGGCUAGUCUUGGGCUGACCACUAAGCUAUACAUACUCUGUUGAUCCCCAAUUUAGUCUGAUGGAGAAAAAGCAAGAGAAGACACUAAUUAUUGUAGCAAAUUCAAGAAUAAAAGCACAUCACUACCACCCCUCAAAAAUUAAAAUAAUUGUAAGAAAAUAUUAUCAGUUAUGUAAUGGCCUUCUUUGUCUCUUUUGAUCUUUGUUAGUUUAAAGUCUGUUUUAUCAGAGACUAGGAUUGCAACCCCUGCCUUUUUUUGUUUUCCAUUUGCUUGGUAGCUCUUCCUCCAUCC
rnacentral:lncRNA from 1 species